rnacentral:rRNA from 1 species
AUGAGCAAGGCGCUCUGCCCGCGAUAUCAAGGGUUGUCAACUUACAAAAAAGAAUACAUAGCUAUCAUUGUUGCUGUUGAUCAAUGGCGCCCAUACCUGCAACAUGCCGAGUUUGUUAUCUUCACAGAUCAGCGCAGCCUAGUCCACCUAGAGGAACAACGUUUGACUACGCCUUGGCAGCAGAAGGCCUUCACAAAACUCUUGGGCUUACGUUAG